AGAGGUGGUUGGGUCCUGAGAGCUCUGCCCUUAUGAAUGGAUUAGUAUCAUUAUUGCAGGAGUGGCUUCAUGAUGGAGAGAGUGGAUUUGUCAUGAAAGUGAGUUCGGCCAUUCCUUGCUGUCUCACGUGCCACCUCUUGCCAUGGGAUGCCCUCGCCAUGGGAUGACAGCAAGAAGGCCCUUGCUUGAGUGAGCCCCUCCAUCUUCGGCUCUCCGGCCUCCAGGACUGUUAGAAAUACAUCUCUGUUCUUUGUAAAUUACCCAGGCUGUAGUACUCUGUUAUAGCAACACAAAACAGACUAAGACACUACUAUGUAGAUGAAGAAACAGGCCCAAGAGGUGAGGAGUGUUGUCCAGGUCUUCUGGCCAGAGGAGCGGCAGAGAUGGGAUUUCAACCCUGGGACUGUGUGGCUUGUGACCACUCCUAGCUUCAGCCCUGCCCGGUGCUGAGGGGUUUGGGGCCAGAACGAUGGCCAGAUGUUUGGGCACACUGGGCCCUACCCACCUGGAAAGAGGCUGGCCUGGGGUUGAAUGAGAACCAGAAGUGACUCAGGCUAGGACCCCUCUGCACCCUCCCUCAGGCCGUGGGUAAUUACCUGCCCAGGUUAAUAGCGCCCACUUCCCGCCACCUUUCAUCAAGGCUCCUGGAGCUGCCAGGCAGUAAUUAACCCUCACAGCACCCUUCUGAAGUCAGCACUGGAGGCAGACGUGUGAUGAAACACGUUUAUUACAGGAAGCACCAGUUAGCCCAGAUGCUUCUCAUCUUUGGAGUUGAGCUGCAGGCUGGAGACCUGGAAGGCCCUCGCAGCGCCUGCUCCCAUCCUCUCACCUCACGAAAGCGCAGGAAUGUGGGUUUGGAGCCAAUGAAAAGUACUGGAAUCUGGCUCUGCUCUGUGACCCUGGACAAGUCACUGCCCCUCUCUGGGCUUCAGUUUCCUCCUUG
rnacentral:lncRNA from 1 species